CUUGGAAUAGUCCAUUGCCCAUGUCCUUGGAAUGUAAUGAAUAUGCAUACAUUAGGCCUUUAAAUAUGUAGUUGCUGCUUCUCUCAGUGUGCAUGUUCAGUGGGAGCGACUCCCAUGCACCCAGCGCUGUAAUAAAGGGAAUACCUGCUUGACAUAACUCAUUGGCAUAUCAAGUUACUCGUUUUCUCAGCUUCAACAUGGACCUAGAAGUAUCUUCCAAAGAAUACCCUGCAAGUCAUCUGCGAGACUUUUUCCCUCUCACACAAUGUUAAAAAGCAACUUGAAAAAAAAAUUGGCUGCAAGUGUUGUUCAGUUGCAUCAGUGCCACUAUGACUUCUCCUCUUCAUGUGAAUAGAAAUCAUACUCCCUCCUGUACCCCAGGAAAUUCUAUGUACUCCAGUAGCAGCUACAAGAUGCAAGAAGAAAAGGAAGAUUUGUUUGAAUGUGCUAACUGCUCUCAAAGCCUUGGAUUUCAAAAUGUUACGAACAAACUGUAGGGAGAAUGCUGAGCAUUUAAUGAGCUACUGAAGGGAUCCAUACCAAACCAACUCUUACUUCAAGGCUGCUUCGAUCCACUCCAGGAGAAAACAUGUGAAUACAAGGACAGGAAUUAAGCUGCGGUUUGCGCUGUCUGACAAUCUCUGCCUCAACCUCAUUCCUGUGAGUAGGAGAUUUCCUUUCUUCUAUUUUCCAUCCUCUGUCUGAGAAGUACAGAGCAGCAUCCCUGGAUGCCUGCAGUGUGACUCUGAGGUAUCUGAGAACAGCAGUUAGAUCUUGUCUUGGAAACUUCUAAUUGGAGUGAGAAUAUGUCAGAAAAACAAUCCCUGUACAAUGCAAGAGUCCUCCAUCUUCAAAGCUGAUAAGCAAAUCUGGGACUUUUAUUCCUUUCCUACUACAAAAUCAACAUCAAAAACUUGUAUGGAUUAGAUGUGUUGACCUGUGCAUUGAACAGCCACUGUAUAUUUCCUGCAGCAGGUCAGCUGACAAAAGAAAAAGAAACCUUUUUUAAAAAAUUGUAUGCACAAUGGAAUUCCCAGAUUUCCAGCAGAUUUCCAAGCUCUUGGGAGAAGCAUGCACCUCAAUAUGCUAUACUGGUUAUGUUCAGAAUGUUAGUUCUCUGAUUACAGCCCCUUAUUUCACUGCUUUAUUAUUCAUGAGACAGCAGAGUGGAUGUGAUGACAAACCUCAUCUGUACUGCUUGACAAGAGAGUGAGUACGGCAGGAUCCAAGCUAUUCGAACCAGCCCAUGUGGAAAGGGGCAGCAUGAGUAAUCUCAGCUAAAGAAAGCCUUUAGACUGGCUGGAGCAGCCAGUGAGAGAGAGAUGGUGGCCAAAUAACUUACUGAGAAAAAGCAGUGAUAAUAAAUAAUUUCUUUUUUUCUGUAGGGGGGCUGUAGCACGUGGGGCCCAGGUACAGUAGGGGUUGAGAAUUAUUUUCAGAUCUCCUUGAUUUAACCCUAAGGCAAAAGUCACUUUACUGCACUGCAGAAGCAUGUUGGUGUGGUUUUGGCUCCUAACAUCUCAGAUCUGUAGAGGUCACUUUCCAUAUCUUAAUACGCUGGUGGCUGUGAGUAAACACAGGGCUGCUGCUGCUGUGCUCCCUCACAGCUCUCACUGAGCCAUACCUAUCCCACUUGAUAAAUCAUCACAGGUUUUCUGUUAUGCUAGCUUUUGCUCUCAAGUUAUCUUAAAAUAUACCUACUUCACAUGUCAAAAUUCUCAGAUCAGUCUGGACAAAACUGUAGCAAAACAAUCAUACUGAGCAGGAGCGUACCAGGGCACGCCCAAUGGCACAGUCAGGCUUGUCUGUAACAGAAACAGUGAGGUCCAUUGAAAAGGCCUCCGUCAGAGCUGAUUGGGAUCAGAUAGUCCUGUCAAUGUAAUUCUUGUUCUCCUGUGCUGGGUAUUUCUCUCUAACCUUGGUGGUUAAGAGGGAAAAUUGCCUUUAAUGAGUUUUGGAUUGUGUCUACAGGCUUUAGCUUUUGAGGCCUGGUGUGAGAGAAAAACUAUUUGUUGUUUAUUCCACAUGAAAAGUCAAAGGUAUAAGGUCCUGCCAGUCUGAAAAACAAAGCUUAAUAUGCAGAAAUGAUUAAGUGAUUGUAAAUUGUAGACAUUAUGAAGCAUUAACUUUAUCACUGCUUACAGUCUGUUAUUAUCUGCCACUUGCAUGGACAUGUGAGUAAUUUCAGCUCUCUGUUUGUUAAUGUCAUGGCACUUAACUGGACAGGUUGUUGUUCUCCUUCUUUAUGAAGUCAAUGCCUAAAAUGUUCCUUUCUUUAACAGCAGAUGUAUCAAAUCAUGAUUUUUGGCUUUUUCUCAACUGUUCUUGCAGUAACAUUCCCCAGGUAAUCAGCAAGAAAAUAGUAGUGUUUCAGACUUGAAAGAAGAUAAGGACCAUGCUCCAAUUAGAUGCUUAUUAGUUUUACUCUUUGAAGACUUACUGACUACAAAUAAUUCAGUGUGCCCCCUCUUGCUUAGACUGGCCUGACAUAGAGGGUUAUUUUCUAGCAGAAGGUGUCAUACAAUCAUAGAAUCAUACAGUUGCUCAGGUUGGAAAGGACCUUAAAGAUCAUCAAGUUCAACCUCAGUCUGACCACAUUACACUAUCUCUAACAACCCUCCACUAAAUCAUGUCCCUGAACACCACAUCCAAAGGGUUCUUAACCACAUCCAGGGAUGACUCAACCACCACCCUGGGGAGCCUAUUCCAGUGCUUAACAACCCUUUCUGUGAAGAAGUUUUUUCUCAUAUCCAACCUAAACAUACUUUGGUGCAACUUGAGUCUACUUCCCUUCAUUUCAUGAGGAGAUCUAGCUGUGUUUUACUAGCUCCUGGGAGAUAUUUCCUUUUGAAUCACUGUUCUGUUUUUUAAGAGACUGGACUAUCACUACAUAUGGCAAUAUCAUGAUAAUCAUAUCAUUUCCAUACCUGCUGUCUCCUUCUGUAAAACACUGAAUGGCAUUGCUGUGUCUAAAAUGAAACAUUCUUUUCCAAUCCUUUCUCUUUAUGGCACAUCAUGGAAGGAAGAUUGAAAGAUGUCCAACUGGUCAUGGAAAAAAGACACAGAGCUUGCAACCCCAUCUCCACCACACUGUUUUUGCUGGGUCACCAAUGGAGUGGUUGCCACAAGCCUGUUCAUACUAACACAGUGCUCACCAACAAGCCCUUUAGAGGAAAGACUUCAAGAGAAGCAAAGAGUGAUUUUCUUGGCUAUCUAGAAGCACCUUCUCAUCUUAUUAUGAAAGAUUAAGGGAUCAUACUGUAAUUAAAACCAGAGUGAGGUGUUUUGGUGUCUGAAGAACAUGCUCUUUCCUGCUGUACCUAGUUCUAUGGUUCACAUAAACAAGAAAACUUUGUCUAAUGUCUCCAUACAGAUUUCAUACAUUUCACAUGUGCACAUGGAAUAGGCAAGGUUUCUCAUUUACAACACACUACUGCAUGCUCCUGUUACUGAUCUGUGGCUCCAGUUCCUGUAUAGUAUCCUAUCCUGAAAAAACCUAAGUAGUGUCAGGUCAGGUUAAUGACAGAAACAUGAGUAGUAUUGUAUCACUUUUUUACACAGAAAAGCAGACAUUUGUCAGCUCUGCCAGCUCCCAUGGAGCUUCACAUGGAGAUUUACUGCAGCAAAUACCAUCUACUGUGGUGCUAUCCAGUUAGAGUCUAAAAUAUUCUUUUCAAGAAGGGAUCCUUUUUGGCACAUAUGCUAGUAGUCUCUCAGGCCAGUCAAAUACCAAAAGAAAUUUUCCAGUGCAGAAUAGGAGCCAGGAUGGCACACUGGUCUAGUUUAAGAAGAAACAAAUAGGACAGCAUAAAGAGAGACAGCUAGAACAAUGCUUUUGCUCAAACUGCUGUGGUAGCAAUCAUUGUAAAACCUAGCAAGUAGUUGAAGAGACAACUCUCUUGUUUAUCUGACAUAUAUAAUUUGUCAUUUUGACAGGACAAUAACUAUGAGGCAAUACAUUGUGGCAUUUUUUAUUAUAAAACUUAACUCCCCUGCCAAACAGAAUUUCUACUGUGACUCUUGGCUGUAUCUUAAAAUAAAGAUGGGUUGUCAUGAUUUUGUUUUUGAAGUACUUAGAAUGUCAGUUCCUAGGAAAAUUUGUGAAAAUGAACAUUUGUAUGUGAUAGAAGAAAGAGAAACAUAUGAAUAGCAUCUCACUAGAUGGAAAUGUAUUGUAGUGAGAAUGAAACCAAGUACUUAUAUGAGGUAGAGUUGUCUUGCUAAAAUCUGUAAGUCAUUAAUUUAAAAAAAAGUCUUUUUUUCAAGAUUAAGAGGAGCAGCAGAACAAUUUUUGGAAGUUUUGCAAUACAAUCAUAAUAUUUUACAGAGCUCAACACCAAAUCUAACUGUAAAAAUAUUUUCUCCUUUAAAAUAUUUAAUAAAUUAAUGUAUUGAAAUAAUUUUACUCCCAAUUUUAAGAAAGAAAGAAAGGAAGACCUGGGGGGAGCUACAGGCUGGUGAGCCUCACCUCUGUGCCUGAGAAGAUCAUGGAGCAGAUCCUCCUUGUUACCAUGUUGAGGCACAUACGAGACAAAGAGGUGAUUCGAGACAGCCAGCAUGGCUUCACCAAGGGCAGAUCUUGCCUGACCAAUCUGGUGACCUCCUAUGAUGGAGUGACAGCAUCAGUGGACAGGGGAAUGGUAAUGGAUGUCAUCUACCUGGACGUCCACAAAACAUUUGACAUGGUCCCUCACCACAUCCUUCUCUCUAUAUGAGAGAGGUAUGGAUUUGAAGGAUGGACGGUUCAGUGGAUUAAGAACUGGUUGGCUGGACGCAGCCAAAGGGUUGUGAUCAGUGGUUCUAUAUCUGGGUGGAGGCCAGUCACAAGUGCUAUCCCCAAGGGUCUGUCUUGGGACCGGUGCUCUUCAACAUCUUUAUCAGUGACAUAGACAAUGGAAUUGAGAACGCCCUCAGCGAGUUUGCAGAUGACACCAAGCUGAGUGGUGCAGUCAAUGCACUGGAGAGAAGGGAAGCCAUCCAGAAGGACCUGGACAGGCUGGAGAAGUGGGUGCAUGAGAACCUAAUGAGGUUCAAUAAGGCCAAGUGCAAGGUACUGCACUUGGGCCAGGGCAAUCCCAGGUAUUCAUAAAAACUGGGGGAAGAUCUCCUUGAGAGCAGCCCUGCAGAGAAGGACUUGGGGGUCCUGGUGGAUGAGAAGCUGGACAUGAGCCAGCAGUGUGUGCUUGCAGCCUACUUGGAAAGCCAACUCUGUUCUGGGCUGCAUUAAAAGAGGAGUGGCCAGCAGGGAGGCAGGAGGCGAUUGUCCCCCUCUACUCAGUUCUCGUGAGGCCCCAUCUGCAGUACUGCGUCCAGCCCUGGGGCCUCCAGCACAAAGAAAGUCAUGGAGCUCUUGGAAUGAGUCCAGAGAGGGCCAUCCAGAGAUGAUCAGAGGGCUGGAGCACCUCUCCUCUGAAAAAAGGUUGAGGGAACUGGGCUUGCUUAUCUUGGAGAAGAGAAGGCUCUGGGGAGACCUCACUGUGGCUUUCCAGUAUUUGAAGGGAGCGUAUAAACAGGAGGGGGAACAACUGUUUUCAUGGGCUGAUAGUGAUAGGACAAGGGGUAAUGGUUUUAAUCUGAGACAGGGGAGGUUUAGGUUAGAUAUUAGGAGGAAGUUUUUCACUCAGAGGGUGGUGACACACUGAAACAGAUUGCCCGAGGAGGUUGUGGAUGCCCCAUCCCUGGAGGCAUUCAAGGCCAGGCUGGAUGUGGCUCUGGGCAGCCUGGUCUAGUGAUUGGUGGCCCUGCACAUAGCAGGGGGAGUUGAAACUAGAUGAUCAUUGUGGUCCUGUUCAACCCACGACAUUCUAUCAUAGAGAUAGAAUAGAGAGGACUCAUCUACAUCAUAGAGAGGACUCAGGAGCUCCCUGCAGUUUGGGAUUUGGAAGACUCCAUCCCUCAAGCUGAAUCUCUGGAAUAGGAAUCUACUCCAGCAUCUGCUGGAGAAAGUUCCCUGUGACAUUUAGCCACACCUCGUAAGACUGUUCAUACUUGUACAGAUUUUGAUGAGGCUCCCUGCUGCACAAAAUGCUGUAUCUGUUGAGCAUCUCCAUUAGCUGUUCUGCUAGCCUCUUAUUUAAGCACCACCUAAAUGGGUCCUUAACCAACCCUAGUCAGUUCGCAUCUACAGUAAAGGCUAUGGUGACCCCAGGUUGAGAGCAGAUGACCAUACUCAUUAGAAAGUGGUAGAGCUUCCUCACACCUGAGACUAAUAGCUUGAUUCAAGUCUGGAAGACCAAAAGCAUGGCCCCGUGUGUCUUCAUGAAGUGAAGAGUGAGAUUUGAUUUGGCUUCAGACAGAUCUAAAAUGUAGAUCUUAGUAACAUAUGGUCACGAGAAAGCAGGCAUCAUGUGACUUCUCCACUAUGAGACACACACUUUGGAAGUAAUGAAUAUAUUUUUAGAAGUACCUAUAGGAAAUAGAAAGACAGUCCAUGUCAGAUAUUUAUUUAGAGUUGCAGCAUGUUUACUUGAAUUAUGGAGAGGAUUCAGAAAGCAGGAAAACACAUUGGACUAAACCACAGCUGUAAAUUUUAAAUGGUCACGUUAAGUAUAAGUGCUUGAGAAAUCAAAAACAUUUCAGUCACCAAUAGAGUGUGAUAGUCAGCACUGGAAGCUGUAGAAAAAUGACCUGGAUUCAGAAUGAAUACAUUUUUUCAUUACUCAGUAACAGAGCAAACCCAGACCCAGACUAAAGCCUACCAGGCAUUUUUGCUUGGUGUUACUGGCAAGGGCAAUAAAAAUGUAUUUGAUUGUACAUCCCUUAGCCUAUGGACAUAAAUAAAAUAUUUAUUGCUUGCAAAGGAGACAAUCUGGUGAUGGGGAGAAUUCUGAACGUUAAAGUUUGAUGGAAAGGACAACUUAUCUUCAUUCUGUAGACCUCCCUACUUAUUCUGUGUUUAUUCAUAAUAUCCAGAAGUAGGUGAUCGCAAUACAAAGGCUGAAUAAAACCUCUUUAUGAAAGAAGAUACAUGUUUCCACUUCUAGACCAACAGCAAACUCAUAGUUCCAUGUAAAAUUAGGCCUGACUACUAAGAAAACAGUUUGAAAUACAAGUAGGACUAGUAAAUCUAUUGUUUCUGUUAUAGUUAAAGGUACUAAGAAAUGCUAAAGUCACAUGACAUGCAGUUUUUCAGCCACUGAUAUAUCAACUCCAAGAUUUAGGAACUGAAAAAGAGAGAGAAGAUGCUUAUUAAAAGUUGCAAAAUCCAUAUGGGGUGGGAUGCAUUAAGAACAAUGUACACAAGACAUGGCAAUAUAUCACUUUGAAUGGUAAAAUUAUGCAGAAUCAUAUACUGUGUUAACAGCUCUUAAAUCGUGUAAAUUAUCUUGUUACUAUACGUGAAAAAAAUCUUUUGAUUACCUUACAGAGUAUUUGCUAACUUGGGCUGAUUAAAUUGUUGAGCAUGCAGCAAUCAGUAAAAACAUUACAUACACUACUUGCUUUCCAGAGACAAAAACAGAUUUGUGUUAUUAAUUCUUUAUAGCUGUAUAUAUGAUAUACAGAUGCUGGUUUAUAAAAGGAUGUACUGAAAAAUGCACUUUUCAAAUAUCUUCUCUAAUAAAAUUCAAAAGUCAUAUCUAGCCAGUUAUGGGAAUUGACUUAAUUUAAUACACCUGUCUUGAUAGAGAAAAUUGGAAGAGAGCUGAAAUGCUAUGAGGUAUUUUCUUUCAGAGGUUAAUCAAAAGUUCACUUUUUAUCUCUGUUGAAUUUCCUGUGUUCAAGUGAGGUAAACAGUGGGAUAAGGUGC
ensembl:lncRNA